AGCAUGCAAGUCGAGCGGAUGAAAGGAGCUUGCUCCUGGAUUCAGCGGCGGACGGGUGAGUAAUGCCUAGGAAUCUGCCUGGUAGUGGGGGACAACGUUUCGAAAGGAACGCUAAUACCGCAUACGUCCUACGGGAGAAAGCAGGGGACCUUCGGGCCUUGCGCUAUCAGAUGAGCCUAGGUCGGAUUAGCUAGUUGGUGAGGUAAUGGCUCACCAAGGCGACGAUCCGUAACUGGUCUGAGAGGAUGAUCAGUCACACUGGAACUGAGACACGGUCCAGACUCCUACGGGAGGCAGCAGUGGGGAAUAUUGGACAAUGGGCGAAAGCCUGAUCCAGCCAUGCCGCGUGUGUGAAGAAGGUCUUCGGAUUGUAAAGCACUUUAAGUUGGGAGGAAGGGUUGUAGAUUAAUACUCUGCAAUUUUGACGUUACCGACAGAAUAAGCACCGGCUAACUCUGUGCCAGCAGCCGCGGUAAUACAGAGGGUGCAAGCGUUAAUCGGAAUUACUGGGCGUAAAGCGCGCGUAGGUGGUUCGUUAAGUUGGAUGUGAAAUCCCCGGGCUCAACCUGGGAACUGCAUCCAAAACUGGCGAGCUAGAGUAUGGUAGAAGGU
rnacentral:rRNA from 1 species